CUGUUUUUAUGCUGCCGCUUCUCACAACGGGUUUGGUCCAGGGCUUGGACGCAAGCAUCCUUCACAAUACCAGAUGACCGCUUAGGUAGUAUAGAGUCUUGGUGGAUCAAUACAUGGAGAGAGAUUCCAAAGAGGGCCAGACGAAAUUUUGACACUAUAACCAUCCUGAUCCACUCGAGAAUUUGGAAAGAAAGAAAUGCAAGGAUUUUCAAGCAAGUGGCCAGUAAUGUUGACAUGAUACUUGAGCUUAUCAAGAAGGACAUCGCUGUUUGUAGAGCUGCCGGUUGUGUAGGCAACUUCUACUGA
rnacentral:rRNA from 1 species